AUUCCGGCAACGGAUGGGCAUGCAUGACAUUAGCUAGUUGGCGGGGCAACGCCCCACCAAGGCGACGAUGUCUAGGGGUUCUGAGAGGAAGGUCCCCCACACUGGUACUGAAACACGGACCAGACUCCUACGGGAGGCAGCAGUGAGGAAUAUUGGUCAAUGGGCGCGAGCCUGAACCAGCCAAGUCGCGUGAGGGAUGACGGCCCUACGGGUUGUAAACCUCUUUUGUCGGGGAGCAAAUUCCGCCACGUGUGGCGGAGUCGAGAGUACCCGAAGAAAAAGCAUCGGCUAACUCCGUGCCAGCAGCCGCGGUAAUACGGAGGAUGCGAGCGUUAUCCGGAUUUAUUGGGUUUAAAGGGUGCGUAGGCGGACUGUCAAGUCAGCGGUAGAAUACGGGGGCUCAACCUCCGCCCGCCGUUGAAACUGACGGUCUUGAGUGGGCGAGAAGUAUGCGGAAUGCGUGGUGUAGCGGUGAAAUGCAUAGAUAUCACGCAGAACUCCGAUUGCGAAGGCAGCAUACCGGCGCCCAACUGACGCUGAAGCACGAAAGCGUGGGUAUCGAACAGGAUUAGAUACCCUGGUAGUCCACGCAGUAAACGAU
rnacentral:rRNA from 1 species